ACCUAGAACAUUGAUGGCUGUCAAGGCUCUGUGUAUCUGGCUGCUUCUGGAUGGGGAGAUGGCAGAGGGAGAUGAGUGGCUGUGUCUGACUCACUUCUGAGUUGUCAGAGUCAAUGAGUACAGGACUGGCCUAGUCCACAUAUUCAUUCAACAAAUGAAUGAAUGAAUGAUGCAUGAUAAGAGGUUUAACCACAGGACACUUUUAGUCCAGGGCAGACACAGGAAUUGUUGAUGGACUGCAGUCAUCAAGGAGGAGGUGUUUUGGCAGGGUUUCAGGGACACGAGGAUGCUGAGUAGUGGAGCAAGGAGGAGGAAGUCGUUCUCAGAGCAGCAGCCAACAUGAGCAAAUGCUCACACAGACGAGAGGCAGGCUCGGGUGCUUCGGAGAAAGGAUUUCAGGUGUAAAGAAUUGUACUUGUAAGCACAAUCAUGCACUGCAAGCAUUAUAAGUAUCUGGCGUCCAUUUUGAGGUCACACAGCAGGUACAAGAUCUAUCUUCUGCCUCUCCUUUUUUUGAGAAUCAGCUCCAUGGGGCCAAGGAUUGCUACCUGUCUUCUUCACUGCCCUAGCCUAAUCUCCUAGAACGGUACCCGGCACGUAGUAGACACUCAAAAAAUAUUUGUUGAAUGAGUGAAUACAAUAAAAGCAUAUAAUUCAAGGAAAAAAGAAAGGCUUUUGGAAACUCUCUCUCUCUCUCUCUCUCUCUCUCUCU